AGUGAACGCUGGCGGUAGGCCUAACACAUGCCAGUCGAACGGCAGCACAGUAAGAGCUUGCUCUUACGGGUGGCGAGUGGCGGACGGGUGAGGAAUACAUCGGAAUCUACUUUUUCGUGGGGGAUAACGUAGGGAAACUUACGCUAAUACCGCAUACGACCUACGGGUGAAAGCAGGGGAUCUUCGGACCUUGCGCGAUUGAAUGAGCCGAUGUCGGAUUAGCUAGUUGGCGGGGUAAAGGCCCACCAAGGCGACGAUCCGUAGCUGGUCUGAGAGGAUGAUCAGCCACACUGGAACUGAGACACGGUCCAGACUCCUACGGGAGGCAGCAGUGGGGAAUAUUGGACAAUGGGCGCAAGCCUGACCCAGCCAUACCGCGUGGGUGAAGAAGGCCUUCGGGUUGUAAAGCCCUUUUGUUGGGAAAGAAAAGCAGCAGGUUAAUACCCCGCUGUUCUGACGGUACCCAAAGAAUAAGCACCGGCUAACUUCGG
rnacentral:rRNA from 1 species